rfam:Triticum aestivum genome assembly, contig: Triticum_aestivum_CS42_TGACv1_scaffold_591811_7BS
UACAUAGUUCCUCCAUCCCAAAAUAAGUGACUCAAAAAUGAUUAAACUUUGUACUAAAUUUAGUACAAAGUUGAUUCACUUUUGAGUCACUUAUUUUGGGACGGAGGGAGUAUAUA